rnacentral:rRNA from 1 species
UACGUAGGUGGCUAGCGUUAUCCGGAUUUACUGGGCGUAAAGAGCGCGUAGGUGGUCUUUCAAGUCGGAUGUAAAAUCUCCUGGCUCAACUGGGAGGGCGCAUUCGAUACUGGGAGACUUGAGGACAGUAGAGGAAGGCAGAAUUCCCGGUGUAGUGGUGAAAUGCGUAGAUAUCGGGAGGAAUACCAGUGGCGAAGGCGGCCUUCUGGGCUGCACCUGACACUGAGGCGCGAAGGCGUGGGGAG